CACUCCCUGCUGUACACGACAGCUUCGCCCUUUAUACUCCAACAACUGUAUCUUGGGAGCCUUGUUUUCAUCCAGGGAUUGCAGACCUCCCCGGCUUUCGGGAGGAAGGGAGCAGGAAAUGGUGAGCGGGCGUACCCACUCUGUCUGAGGACGGGGGUUUACAGCCGGCGGGGCAUCGGUACAGCGGGGAUGCU
rnacentral:other from 1 species